AGCACACAUGCAAGCAUAGUAAGGCCCUAAAAGGCUAACCUAGUUAGCCAAACAUAAUCCCCAUUUUUAAGCUCUCACAACACAUGCACAAGCUUCUCUUUCUUCCCCCCUUGCUCGAUCUCCCUCCUCUCACUCUCCUGCACAAUUAAAAACAUGACAUCCUCAACCAUUACUCCUUCAUUUACUACAAGAUUGGGCAUUAAUGGAAAGAUCACACAUGCACAUGCAAAUCUCUCCCUCUCCCCCCUCAUACUCGGCUCUCUCUCUCUUCUCUUCUCUCCUUCUCUCUUCUCAUUCUCCUGCACCAUUAAGAGGGUGACAUACUCACCAUUUAUCAUCCCAUUUAAUUGCAAGAUACACAUUGAAUGAAGCAAUCUCUCCAUCACAUCAUCUCAUCAAAGCUCAUCAAAGCAAGCUCCCCUCUCUCCUUUUCUACUCCCUUCGGCAGCCCCCUCCCCUCCUCACUCCACCACACUUCUCUCCUUGUUUCACCAUUUUUGGAAAGGAUUAAGGAAGCCAAAAGUGCUACCCUCACACCAAGCUAUUAAGUGUGCUUCAAUCUUCAAGCACAAGCUCCAAGAGGCCGACGCAUCAUCCUCUACUCCACCUCCAUUGAUCUUGUUGGUUCGAGUGACAGCCGGCGUUAGUACGACCCCGAGCGUUGUGUCAUCGACUCCUGAGACAGGUCUGGCUUGGCGCGAGGAUGGGUGAAGGCUGUUGGAAUUGUCAGUUGACCGUGUCCUUCUAUGUCUCAUGCUUAUCUUAUUGCUAUGACUCUAUAAGUUAUUAAACUCCCUGCUAUAUGUCUUCACACAUAUAGUAACGCAUCGCUGCACAACUCUGAUGAAUCUCUUUAUUUAAUUUGCUGUUGCCUGUAAUAUCCCAUAAGGGAAAAUACUCUCAAACUUUGCGAAGUCUCGAAUUAUGUUUUACCAAGCAAGUAAUUUAAUUAAGUCUUAAAG